GAAAAGUUUAAGUUUCUUUGGCUAACCCAUAUUUUUUAUAUGGAGGCUUGUUAAAAUGGGUGUUUUGGUGAAUGAAAACAACUCCAGUGCAAAUUGUCAAAAAGCAAACAAGAAAUUAUUCAAGAAAACAGUUGCUAAAACUUGGAAUUACUCACCCAUUUUCUUUACCAAAUGGACCCAUUACUCUUGAAAAGGCUAAUAGUAAUAAUAGCCAAAUCCAAACACGUGCUACCAUGGGACCCUUUUAUUCGGACCUCUCUGCUAAAUGGAGUCAAAGCAACCCGUCAACCAAUGACUUGUGGGAAAAACAACGCAAUUUGGCAUCAGUGCUUGGGAUGGUUUCGGUGUCCUUCGGUAGCGUUAAUGUGUCUGCGUUGCAGGCUUCAGCUUUUCUGCCCAUCUCCUUUAUGUCUUGAAUAUUUUCACUCUUGAAUUCCUGUAGUGUGUCACAUUGUUCAACUGGUAGCAUAGCCUGAAUAAUCUUAUUCAGCUUUUGACGAAGCCAGCCAACUUCCAGUUCCACAGAUUCUAGAUCGCGUAUGCUACUUAACAUGGACUUGAGCUCAAGUAGUUGUAGAUUUUUAAUCUCUGUUGCUUGUAGUGUAUGGACGAUGCCACAAACAAUCUCCAAGAAGGAUGAACGGCAUUGAAGAGAGUGCAAAGAGCAAUUGGCAGCAAUGUCUCCAUGCUUUGAAAGAAUAGCUUCAAGGAUAGGCUGAAAUUCUGCCUUAAUUGUAUACUCUUUUUCCUUCAAUGAAGUAGAAUGAGCCGCAGGAGACUUGACCUCUUUUUGGUUUUGGAAGGUGCUAUCACCAGAAUCAGGGUUCUUGCAUGACUUUCGGAGUUGGUGCUUGUCCUUCUCGUUAAGGCUGUUACUGUCAAGCUCUGACUUAAUCUCAUGUCCUUGCAAUCCUAGGGGAGGUGAUUCCAAGGAUUUUGCUUCUGAUUUCUUGAUUUCCAAAAACUUGAUGAGUCCUUCUAGAGAAGUCAUAGGAUCUGUGUUCUUCAUCAGUUCCCCUGCAACAUCAGCAGGGCUAACUUCAACUUCUUUAAUAAGCUCUUCAACACAACUAAAGAGAUCAUGCUCCCAUAGAUCCAAGUAAUUGGCUGCUAGCUGCUUGAAGGUGGAGAAUGUGCAGUAAGAUAGGUAUAUGUGCAUAUCCAUACGACCUGCUCUUAGCAAGGCAGGAUCAAUGCGAUCUUUGUAGUUGGUAGUGAAAAUUAUAAUCCUUUCAUCUCCACAGCAGGACAGUAGGCCAUCAAUGGCGUUUAGAAGGCCAGAGAGUGUUACCUGAGGCCGAGAAAUUUGGUUAUUAUUAUCUGGUUGAUGAUCUCCUGCUUGACGGUUUUGCAGCAUGAUGGAGCAGUCGAUAUCCUCCAGCACAAGAAUUGAACGAUUGGACAUAUGAAGCAACAAAUACUCAAGAGAAGAGUCAGAGUUAACAGCAGACAGGUUCAAGUUAUAAAUAUCAAAGUUAAGAAAAUUGGCCAUGGCAGCUAUCAGGCUUGAUUUCCCAGUUCCUGGAGGACCAUAUAAUAAGUAACCUCGCUUCCAUACUUUACCAAUCUUCUUGUAAUACUCCUUGCCCCGAAUGAAGCUAUUAAGAUCUUCAACCACUUUCUGCUUGAGGUCUCCAUCCAUGGCUAGCGUUUCAAAUGUCAUGGGAUGAUCCAGGUUGAUCCCUUUAGAGCUCCAGCCGUCUCUCCCUCCACGAGUAGUGAAAAACUUCACAACCCUAUUUUGAUCCUUAAUUUUCUUCGCCAUUUCAAGAAUGUAAGGCAGAUACUUGUUCUUGACCAUAUCAAUAUAUCGCUUGUGAAACCGAAGCUCAUACCAUCUCAACUCAUAAUGAAGUGCGGAGUUGAAAUCAGUAUAGUAUGCCCACUUCAUGGGAACACCAUGAAAAUCAUCAACAAUCUCUGAGUUCCUGUCCAGACCAUAAGUUAGAACCUUCAUGCUCUCGUUCUUCCCAACAGUGAGACGUCGAGGACCAGAGGCAGAGGAAGUACAGGAAGCAUUACUGCCAAGAUAUGUAACUAAUGCAUUGAAGAGAUGGUUUGUUGAUCCUUCGUGUGAUUCUUUAACAACUACGGUAUGCUCCGACGAGAAACGGCGACUGAAUUCCAACAAGUAACUUCGCAGUUCUUGAGGAACGAACUCAUUGAAUGAACUACGAAGAAUCGCAAUUGAAGCUAACACAGAUAAACUUGAUCCCAUAGCUCUUGAUCUUGAUCUUCUCCACUAGAGAACUUGGCAAAUCUCUAUUAUUAUUAAUUUCAAAUAGUGCAUCGAGUUAU
rnacentral:misc_RNA from 1 species